UGUUUGGAUAAUUAAGUUAACCAAUCGGUCUCUUCAUGUCCAGCGCUGAUUCCAAACCAGAGAUACAUGUACCGCAAAGUGGGUACUUCGGUAGUUGCUAUGGGUUACGAGGAUCAAACAAAAGGAAAUUCUGAUGAAGUAAAUAGCUGUAUUUCAUCUCGGAUUCAAAGUUUUCCUUUUGCUUGAUCCUUUGUGAUCUGUCAAUUAAAUAAACAUACCCAUUAAUCAACUAGAUUCCUUCAGUUAGCCUCCUCAAGAAUGUCUUUAGUCGAGGACAGCCCUAAGCAAUAGUCAGAAAGCAAGUCAAAAAUGUCAAAAAGAAAUUGUUGACUGAAUGCAAACUUGAGCAAACAUUCUUAAAAAAGGAAAACAAAGGACCGAAGACAAUUCAAGGAGCUCUAUUUUAUAUAUAUUUCAAUAUUGUAAAAAUAUUUACUUAUUUCGUUGUACUCAAGAACACAUAAUAACAUGCAUUUUCAGACGGUUACUUUCUUUGUCCAUUUUUUUACUGUAUGUAGUUUUAGUACACAUGAUAUUCAGGUACUCACAAAAAGAACAACACACAUCAAAAGGUGCUCAGUCAAACAAGAAAAGAGGGGAAAUGAGGAUAUAUUAUUCACUUUUAAUAGACAUCUAUUUUAAAAUAAACUGAAAAGAACGCAUUUGGAUUGGUGGGGUAGACGAAGGGGCACUUGAGUUCAUCUGGGAGAACUACUUCUAUAUACACAAUACCUGGUACUUAAACGAACAUGUACAAUCAAAUGCAAUCUCAUAACUCCACAGCAAAUACUAUUGUGGAAAUAUAGUGGUCAUUGAAGUGACAUCAUCAUUCCGAGGUACCUCUCUUUACAGGAAGUCAAGGCGGCCAUCUUUGAGGACCUGGUGCGAUUGGGCAAGGAAGGAGGCCUCAAGUCCUUCGAGCAGGUGAAGUACAUCUGCAUCCACACCCAGCUGUUCUCCAUCGAAAACGGCCUGCUCACUCCAACGCUGAAGGCCAAGAGGAACGAAAUGCGGCAGUACUUCAAAGCCCAGAUCGACGAGCUGUACGCCGGGAUCAAAAUGUGAAAAGGGGGGAACCGAGGAGGAAGAGAGACGCAGUCGACUGAAGGGGUUUUGGGGAGAGUGGAAGACGGCAAGCUAAAGCCCACGCAGAGAAGCAGACAAGCCUCUCAGGCCACAAGGAGCGCGUCUCGUCCUCUCGGCCGGGAACACGAGAAACGACAGCAAAAGGAUGCGCCGUAGCUUUUAAUGGAACUUGAUUCAGAGCAUCUAGAACUAAAUCAAUGGCCUUUAAGAUCUACGGCACAGCAUCCAAGACCUCUGAAGGUCCAGAGUAAAUUCUGUGAUGAAAAAAAAUUUCUUUUGAUGAAAUAGUUUUUGCCUGUGCAAUGUACAGUACUAGAUUCUGUUAAAACGUGUUGAUUUUAAUCAGCUGUUUUGAGAUCAUAUUUGAUGGAUGUUUUUAAAGGGAAAUGUUAAAGUGCAGCUCUGUAGCAUCUCAGGACUUUACUGACAGGAACAACACACAGUAACUCCUACACACACACUCCAACGCCUUUUUAUUCAAAGGUUAGCGGAGGACUGAAUAAAAGAUAAUCUAAACAACGCCAGCUGGAAAAAAGGGAAUUCAGGUACUAAAGAACACUCAAAAGGGAUAGUGUUUUUUAUUUAUUUAUGGUAACAUGAAGGGAAGAGAUCAGUUUUCUUAAAUUAUUAGUACACGCUGAAGAAGGGUGGAACUUCAAAAUGACAUUGUUCACAACCUGAAUGUUAAAGUAUAAAAAUGUUGGAUGUACUUGUUGGACUAUGAUCUUACUAUAACUGAACUGUCAUCUCAGAUCUGUUUUGUAAAGAUUUGAAUUAAAAAUCAUCCAGACA